rnacentral:misc_RNA from 1 species
AAUGACAUUUUCCAGCAAGGUCCUCAGUUUGUCAUUAUAACCAGUCAGAAUCACCUGAAAGCCACUAGCUGCCAUGUAUAUGUCAUAAUAUAGACCAGCAACACUUGCAUGGUAAGCGUAUUCAUUCAAGUAAUCCUCUAACAAUAGAGUAAAAAUGACUGUGAGAACUUCUGCCUCUAGAGAGCUCUUAGCAAAGGGGCAAUUGAAAUCUAUUUUGACAUAGGCCUUGGGUGUAGAGAACAGUGUAUCAGGCUUGUACCAUAAUGACGCACAGGAUGACUUUCUUACUAGAGCUGGGAAUGUGACCUUCCCUUGUGUGUCCUUGAGCGAUAGGUCAGUAGGGAUGAACACAUUAGGUGCGGGUAGGUGCAGAUUUUCAUUAGGGGCAGAAGAUAUCCAUUCCUGAAUCAUUGAAUCAGUAAUGUUUUCAACACUAUAUGCAGUUUUGUACCAAGGCUCAACCAAAUCAGUUUGCCCUUCAAAUUUCUUUGAUUCCCAAAAGAUUCGCACAUUUUUUGGAGAAAGCUGAUCCAUUACUGAUUGAAUUAUGCUUGGGCUGAAUUUGGAAGG